rnacentral:lncRNA from 1 species
UUUUGGACAGGUACAUACCCAACAGUGAAAUUACAGGUUAUAGAGUAUAUUGAUUUAUUAGGUGCUGCCAAAGAGUUUUCUAAAGUCAUCAUACCAAUUGACACUCUCAUCAGCAAUUCAAGAGUUUUUGUUGCUCCACAUUCUACCCAACACUCUAUAUUCUUAAUUGUAGCCAUGCUGCUACUUGUUAGUAUAUCUUAAUUUAUAUUUUUCUGAUGAAUAAUCAUGUUGAGCAUCUUUUUAUAUGUUUAUUGCCCCAACUGUUUUUAAAAUAUAAAAUUUGGGAGUUUAUGUGAUUUGAAUCUGUGUCCCUGCCCAAAUCUCACGUGAAAUUUUAAUCCCCAGUGUUGGAGCUGGGGCCAGGUUGGAUCAUGAGGGUGGAUUUCUCAUGAAUGGUUUGGCACCAUCCCCUUGGUGCUGAUCUCAGGAGAGUGAGUGAGAUCUGGUUGUUUAAAAGUGCAUAGCAACUCCCCACUCACUCUCUCUUGUCCCUGCUCUUGCUGUGUGAACCGCUUGCUCCUGCUUUGACUUCCACCAUGAGUAAAAGCCACCUGAAGCCUCCCCAGAAGCAGAUGCCACCAUGCUUCCUGUACAGCCUGUACACCUGUGAGCCAAUUAAACCUCUGUUCUUUAUGAGUUACCCAGUCUAAGGUAUUUCUUUAUAGCAGUGCAAGAACGAACCGACAUAGAAGUUCAGCUUAAAAAUUUACUCCAAGAGGCCUGGGGAUCAUAUCAGUUUCUUGGCAGUGAAAACAAAGGGAGGCAAGUGUGAUCUUACUGAAGAAUGAAGAGUCUAAUGUAGUGGUUCCAUGUUGUUUUGGGAGUUGCAGUCUGGGUUCUCAGGGAUCUUCACUACCACCCCUCACCUUGCCUUGACUUGUUACACUGAUUCUGCUGCUGAGGACAAAAGUUGUCCUGUGUGGAAUCAGAGCAAAUCCUACCAUAAAUCCAAGUUGAAGAAUCAGAGCAAAUAAUGGAAAGCCUCUGGUCAAAUUGAAUCCAGGGUGUGAGGUCAAGCAGCCAGAGCCAAGAAAUGUUAUGUGAGGAUAUCUGAAAAUAUAUGGAUAAAACCGAAAGAAGAGUCUGUAGGAAUGACCCAAGAACAAAUAAAUUCUUCUGAAUUCUUGCUGGGCCCAUCUCUCCACAUCAGGGAGCUUUAGUCGAGUUCCGAAGAGCCUGGAAUCUUCACACAUCUCAUUUCCAUUGGCUUGCAUGUGAUUUUUAUAAUUUCCCCUGGAUCUGCCUCCUGUCUCACUUGAAAGAAAAUAUACUGAAAAAUGGAAUCUAGUGUCCUAAUGUUUGAUUAUCCUGCUCACUUGGCAACCAGUCUGCUAGGACCUCAAAAGUUGCCCUUGAUUAGGAUUCCAAGUGCAUAAAUUGAUCAACCAAAUUAUUUCCAAGAUCAUUAGCAUCUUAACAUUGCUCAGAACAAUGUACUUAAUAGGCUUCCUUUUUUAAUUGUCCUCAAUCGCUACUGAAAACUUGCACAACUCUGAUAGCCUUGCCCUGGCUACCCUCUCUCACUAGAUAACUGUUUGUAUCUCAUUUGACCAAAAAAGUAAAAUAAAACAGGCUCUCAAGCCUAUCCGAAGCCCUUCAACUUUGAGCCUCCAAAUUUAUAUCUGCAAAGGUCUUAUCUUUUUUAAUCUCCAAAGAGUGACCUGUGUCUUCUCUAAAAUUGAUCCCUCCGCCUGGGCAUCGAAUCCAUAACUGCCUUUUUCCUCAGAGAACUUGUUCCAGCAAAUAACCCCAUUCUUUCCUACAUCUUCAACUCCUCAAUCUCCAUUUCUCUUUUCUCCUGGCGUAUAAGUAUGGUGAAGCAUCACUCAUAUGUUUUUUAAAGACCUCCUUCUUCCACUCUUUGUUUUUCUCUUUUAGCCAAGCUUCCAACUUUUUUAUUGUUCCCACUAUCUUCUCUUUCAUUCACCUGAUAUCAGUUUAACAUAAUCUGGAUUAUUUUCUCAUUAAUCACUGAAACUAUUCCUUUAUGAGUAUCAGUAGAUGUCCAAUCUAACAUCCGCUUUUAAGCCUUAAUCUGACAUGAUUCCUCUCUGGUAUUUGACACUCCUUUCUUUUAGAAACAUGGUUUCCAUGGUUCUAUUUUCUUAUUUGUUUCCAACAUUUCUGGCUGUUCCUUAUCUCUAAUUUCAGGUCCUUUUCCUCCACUUUCCUCUAGAUUUUGGAGUUAUCUCAAAGUUCUUUCUUUGGUUUCCUUCCUUCUCCUUUCCUUCUUGCAGUGUACUUAAUCAUCUUUUCCAGUCUUGACGUCAGUAACAACAUGGUAGCCAAUGCCUCUUAAAAUUUGAUCUGUAUUUCUGUUCUCUCUUCUGAGCUCCAGAAAGAUGUAUCUGAUUACCUACUAGACAUGACCAUUUGGGCAUUGUACCCAUAUUUCAAAACCAAUAAACCAUGUUCUAAAGUUUGAGGUAUUUCUUAUAUGGGAACAAUGAGGUGAGGAACAGUGAAGAAUUGUGAGAAUAUGAACAUUUCCUAGGCCCAAAUUAGAAGUUACAGAACAUAGAUUUGAAUUGGUGAUGGCUUGAUCUUAGCCUUAAAUGCAUCAAAUAUAAUCUUAUAUAAAAUAAGAAAAACCAAUUACAAACCGAUUGAGUGCAUAUUUGUGCAGCACUUAUUCAUUGAUUAAAACAAAAUGUCAAUGCAAGAUCAAAAAAAUGACUGGUUUACAUGAUGUGUGAACACUGUGGGGAAUAUAAAGGAAGCACUUAUUUUCCAUUCCUCAUAUUUCCACAGAAGAAAGAGAAGGUAUACUGAACUCUCAGGGGAGGAAAAUAUGAUAUAAAGUUUCUUUGUGCCCCUCAACAACAAAUCUUCAUGUCUGGUAGAAGAACUAAUUUGAUCACUGAAUUAUGGAAAAGAACUGAGCAUGAUGAUCUCUAGAGAUCUCUCUCUCCUUGUCUUUUUCUCCCUCUCCUUCCCUCUCUUCCUGUCUCCCUUCUUCUCUUCCUCCCUUUUACUUGCAUCUGCCUGCCUGCAAAAAGGCAACAUCUAAUCUGGAUUGUUUCUCUGAACUUCUGGGAGAUACAUUUUAUUUAGGAAACUUAUUAGGAGGCAUAAUCAUUGGAGGCAUUUCCCCAG